CCCAGAUGCAGUUUGCUGCCUUCCAGUGUUUGCCUUCUGCCCUGCUGGCAGCCCUCCACCUGCUCCUCUAUCUCAGAAACAUCUGGCCUCCGAUCUCAGAGGAGGAGGGUCUUCUUCCUCCAACUGCCCGCCCCCCAUAUCUGCUCUAACCAAAGCAUUGGUUCCUGAUUUUCAGAGAACCCACAAAGGUUUUACUAUUGUUAGAGUUACUUAAAGCUGGAACAGAGGUGUCACAGUCAUGAAAAGUCCAUGAGUCAAGUCAACAUUUUAGGAUCAACACAGUUUACAACGUAUGUGAACAAAGACAGUUUUCUACAACAAAUCCCCAAACAGAUGAAAACUCCUGUAACAAACAUUCAUCCACUCGAGGUUACAAGGCUUUUCAUCUGCCAUGGGGAGCGCCCGAGUCUCCUCAGCUGCCUCUUCACAAAAGAGGUACCAGGUCUGCACCAAAUGAGCACACAGGCACCACCAGGAGCGGCAGAAGAACU